GAUGAACGCUGGCGGCGUGCUUAACACAUGCAAGCCGAACGAAGCAUUUGCGACAGAUUUUUUCGGAAUGAAGUUGCUUAUGACUGAGUGGCGGACGGGUGAGUAACGAGUGGGUCACCUGCCUUGUACUGGGGGAUAGCAGCUGGAUACGGCUGGUAAUCUCGCAUAAGCGCCCAAUGUUGCUUGACAUGGUGUGGAAAACUCCGGUGGUAUACGAUGGAGCCGCGUCUGAUUAGCUAGUUGGUGAGAUAAGAGCCCACCAAGGUGACGAUCAGUAGCCGACCUGAGAGGGUGACCGGCCACAUUGGGACUGAGACACGGCCCAGACUCCUACGGGAUGCAGCAGUGGGGAAUAUUGCACAAUGGAGGAAACUCUGAUGCAGCGACGCCGGGUGAGUGAAGAAGUAAUUCGUUAUGUAAAGCUCUAUCAGCAGGGAAGAUAGUGACGGUACCUGACUAAGAAGCUCCGGCUAAAUACGUG
rnacentral:rRNA from 1 species